rnacentral:tRNA from 1 species
GCCCUGGUGGUGUAGUGGUCUAGCAUAUGGCCCUGUCACGGCCAUGACCUGGGUUCGAAUCCCAGCUAGGGCGCCA